GGGCUUGACAUCCCACGAACCUGCCCGAAAGGGUAGGGUGCCCGCAAGGGAGCGUGGAGACAGGUGGUCCAUGGCUGUCGUCAGCUCGUGUCGUGAGAUGUUGGGUUAAGUCCCGCAACGAGCGCAACCCUCACCCCUUGUUGCCACCGGGUUAUGCCGAGCACUCUAGGGGAACUGCCAGCGUCAAGCUGGAGGAAGGCGGGGAUGACGUCAAGUCAUCAUGCCCCUUACGCCCUGGGCGACACACGUGCUACAAUGGCUGGUACAAAGGGAUGCAAGACCGCGAGGUGGAGCUAAUCCCAAAAAACCGGUCUAAGUUCAGAUUGCAGUCUGCAACUCGACUGCAUGAAGGAGGAAUCGCUAGUAAUCGCGCAUCAGCACGGCGCGGUGAAUACGUUCCCGGGCCUUGUACACACCGCCCGUCACACCACGAAAGCCGGCUGUACUCGAAGUCGCUGAG
rnacentral:rRNA from 1 species